CUGCAUCGAGUCUCGACCUCCUUCUCCAAGCUGACCUGCGUCGACUCCCGACCUCAUUCUCCAACCUAAGCCUACUGGAGCCGCCUCCAACCUGACCCCGAGUCCUCGACCUCGCUCUCUGACCCCGAGUUCCCCUGCCUCGCUCUGACCCCGAGUCCCCCCGAUCUAGUUUUCCAGACCUCGAGCUUGAGAUCCGAUCUGACCUCGAGCUUAUUAGCCGACCUGAGCUUGUCAUUCUCCAACGUCUAGUCUCAGGAAGAUCGUAGAUUGAAGGUUUUCAAGAAGGAGUGGUUUGAAGGCAAGGACUGUCUUGACAUUGGCUGCUAUUCUGGGGUUAUCACUAUACAAAUCGUUGUUUGAUGCUGUUCUGCAUCUACCUGGGAGGAGUACUGCUGUCGUCUUUGAGUUUUGGAUAAUAGGAUUUUGAAUAGAGACAAGCAGAGAGGAUAUUUAGUUUUUGGG